UCACUAAGUAGAGAAAUGGUGAUGAUUGUACUCUAAGAAAAGAAAAGAAAAAUAUAUAUAUAUAUAUAAGACAUAUACACCAGCUUUCGUGUAUUUAAGUAUCUAAUGUAUUUAAGUAUCUCAGGUAAUCUAACAUGUAUUUUUCAAAAUCACAAAUUAGUUUUAUAGCUAUAUAGUAUACACUCAUAUUCAGGGGCGGUCCUGAAAGAAGUGGGGCUCUAAACAAAUGAAAAAAUGGGGGCCCUUCUAACAUAACUGAAAUUUUAAAAUUCAUGAGCAAGAAUUUUUUUUUUAAAGCAAAACAGAAAACAAAAAACUAAUUCUCAAACAAAAAGCUAAAAAAACUGUAAAUGUGAGAAGAGAAAAGAUUUAUUUUAUGUAAGUCCCACUAAAUUCUGUUGCUCGAUUUUAUUAUUUAUACAUAUAAAUAUUUUUUUAAUGUUUUAAAAAAAAACAAAAUAUUUUUUUAAAAAUGGGGGCCUUUUAAUAAUGGGGGCCCCAGGCCCAUGUUUCAAAUGGCUCUCCUCAGGGACGCCCCUGUGGAGACUGCCUAAAACAUUUCUUCUGCGAGCUCUGUGCUCUGACCCAACAAUACCGUGAACUCAAGAACCGCGGUUUCAAUAUGGAUCUUGGAUGGGCGGGGAACGUACAGAGGCAGCAGAACCAAGGGGCCGCGAUGGGUGCUCCUGUCUUUCAAGGUGGCAUGAACCGUUAAGACUAAUUCUUUAAUGUAAUUUAUUCGGUUUUAUAAUAAACGAGGUUUAGUCCUCUGUGUGUUUCUGUAAUAUGCUUGUGAAUUAUGAAAUGAAAGUGAUUACAUAUUUGUGUAA